GACGAACGCUGGCGGCGUGCCUAAUACAUGCAAGUUGAGCGCUGAAGGUUGGUACUUGUACCAACUGGAUGAGCAGCGAACGGGUGAGUAACGCGUGGGGAAUCUGCCAUUGAGCGGGGGACAACAUUUGGAAACGAAUGCUAAUACCGCAUAAAAACUUUAAACACAAGUUUUAAGUUUGAAAGAUGCAAUUGCAUCACUCAAAGAUGAUCCCGCGUUGUAUUAGCUAGUUGGUGAGGUAAAGGCUCACCAAGGCGAUGAUACAUAGCCGACCUGAGAGGGUGAUCGGCCACAUUGGGACUGAGACACGGCCCAAACUCCUACGGGAGGCAGCAGUAGGGAAUCUUCGGCAAUGGACGAAAGUCUGACCGAGCAACGCCGCGUGAGUGAAGAAGGUUUUCGGAUCGUAAAACUCUGUUGGUAGAGAAGAACGUUGGUGAGAGUGGAAAGCUCAUCAAGUGACGGUAACUACCCAGAAAGGGACGGCUAACUACGUG
rnacentral:rRNA from 1 species